rnacentral:rRNA from 1 species
CACGUAGGCGGAUAUUUAAGUCAGGGGUGAAAUCCCAGAGCUCAACUCUGGAACUGCCUUUGAUACUGGGUAUCUUGAGUAUGGAAGAGGUAAGUGGAAUUCCGAGUGUAGAGGUGAGAUUCGUAGAUAUUCGGAGGAAUACCAGUGGCGAAGGCGGCUUACUGGUCCAUUACUGACGCUGAGGUGCGAAAGCGUGGGGAGCAAACA